rnacentral:rRNA from 1 species
UACGUAGGGUACAAGCGUUGUCCGGAAUUAUUGGGCGUAAAGAGCUCGUAGGCGGUUUGUCGCGUCUGCUGUGAAAACUCGGGGCUUAACCCCGCGCCUGCAGUGGGUACGGGCAGACUAGAGUGCGGUAGGGGAGAUUGGAAUUCCUGGUGUAGCGGUGGAAUGCGCAGAUAUCAGGAGGAACACCGAUGGCGAAGGCAGAUCUCUGGGCCGUAACUGACGCUGAGGAGCGAAAGCGUGGGGAGCGAACAGG